rnacentral:rRNA from 1 species
UCGGGAAUUUUGGGCAAUGGGCGAAAGCCUGACCCAGCAACGCCGCGUGAGGGAUGAAGUAUUUCGGUAUGUAAACCUCGAAAGAAUGGGAAGAAUAAAUGACGGUACCAUUUAUAAGCUCCGGCUAACUACGUGCCAGCAGCCGCGGUAAUACGUAGGGAGCAAGCGUUGUUCGGAUUUACUGGGCGUAAAGGGCGCGUAGGCGGCGCGGUAAGUCACUUGUGAAAUCUCUGAGCUUAACUCAGAACGGCCAAGUGAUACUGCUGUGCUAGAGUGCGGAAGAGGCAACCGGAAUUCUUGGUGUAGCGGUGUAAUGCGUAGAUAUCAAGAGGAACACCUGAGGCGAAGGCGGGUUGCUGGGCCGACACUGACGCUGAUGCGCGAAAGCCAGGGGAGCAAACG